rnacentral:lncRNA from 13 species
GACUGAGAGACCAGUAUCCCCAGUUACCAUUUACCCAGCAACAGGAUCAACAUAUAUCUCCUACCUAAGAGAACAUGAUCACAUGAUCUGUUAAUGAGGAGGAGCUCAUCACCUUGGAGAGGACAAAGAGCUGAGUCAUGACACAGCUGAAAGAGAGAGAGAGAUACUGUAUCUGAGCGUUGCAACUUCAGACUCCUUCAGCCUGUCUGGCCUCAGUACCAUGAAACCAGUCAGACUCAUGAUCCAGAUUGCCCCCAGCCUCUCGUUCUCUCUGUUCCACUUCACUCCCCAGUGACAGAUGGAAUGGGGUUGGUGGACUGAGAGACCAGUAUCCCCAGUUACCAUUUACCCAGCAACAGGAUCAACAUAUGACCCAUAUCUCCCGUAAGUGACCUGCACCUUCACACACAUGCACCUACUGCACACACACACACACACACACACACACACACACACACACACACACACACACACACACACAGCCACCGUUCAUCCACAUUAAUGGUUAACUGACACAAUUACUCACGUAAGGUGUCUGUCUACCC